GCCGUUGGGGGCGCGCGCGGACGGUGCGGGGGCCGUUGGACGGUGUGAGGGCCGGUGGUGGCCGUGGCGGCCUGUCAUCCGGCCCCGGCUCCUCACCCGGCCCUGGCCUGUCACCCGCCCGGCGGGGAAGCCGGCAGGGCUUCUCCCGGGAAGCGGCACGCAGUGGGGAGCGCGCCUCCGAGCGGUGCAGGGGCCAGCUGUGAGGGAGGCGGCCACGAAGCGGGUCUUACUGGUUUCUCAGCUUCCAGCUUUUCCCUGGUUUUCACUUCAAGAUCUGCAACUAUGGUGGUGAUAAAAAUAAAUAUUAGUUACUCUGCCAUUACUGCACUGUGAACAGCAGGAGCUGGAGAGGAACGGGAGCCCUCUGUCCAACCCUGAGGAACUACUGACCACUUGGACCAUGACCUGGGAAGAGGGGACACAGCCCACACUUCUUCCCUUCCACAAACAGGCCCACGAAUGGUCGUGGAAGAGAGCGAUACCUUACUCUGGUUGGUACUUCCUGGAAAGGAAAAACACGACAAGCACUGAAAGAGCCUUCCAAGAACAGCAAAGAGAAAACACCCAACCAACUUUAGGACAGUUUGGUCAAGCUGUGAACAGAAUUAGUGUGACAGGUCAGAGUGCUACUGAGCAUGCCAGUGCAGGAAGUCCUUUCUAGUCUAGUAUCAAUUUUCACAUAAUCAAGAAAAACAUAAAAUUCAGUUUCCCUCUCAUUCAGCAAAAAACGGCUAAAGCAGAAGGAUCACUGUAGUUCAUGCAACAGAAGGAACUGAGUCUUUCCAGAAGUAAACAUCCCCUUCCCCUAAAAUAUGGUAAUCAAGUUUCCUACAUAAACCUGUAUAAACAAACCUGCAAGAUAUGUCUAAAACAGGAUGGGAAGAAAUAAAUUCCAGUGCUUUAUACAAGUAGAGAAGUGUCUUAACCUGGUUUUCUUAGGAAAGAAACUAAUGCUAGCAUAGUACCAUCGCUGCUUUUUGACUGAUUUUGACCAGUGGAUGUUGUCUACCUCGACU